CCUACGGGUGACAGCAGUAGGGAAUAUUGCUCAAUGGGGGAAACCCUGAAGCAGCAACGCCGCGUGGAUGAUGAAGGUUUUAGGAUUGUAAACUCCUUUUGUGAGCGAAGAUAAUGACGGUAUUUCACGAAUAAGCACCUGCUAACUCCGUGCCAGCAGCCGCGGUAAUACGGAGGGUGCAAGCGUUACUCGGAAUCACUGGGCGUAAAGUGUGCGCAGGUGGGCUUGUAAGUCAGAUGUGAAAUCCUGUAGCUUAACUACAGAACUGCAUUUGAAACUAUGAGUCUAGAGUGUGGGAGAGGUAGGUGGAAUUCUUGGUGUAGGGGUAAAAUGCGUAGAUAUGAAGAGGAAUACUGAUUGCGAAGGCGGCCUACUGGAACAUUACUGACGCUCAUGCACGAAAGCGUGGGGAGCAAACAGGAUUAGAUACCCUAGUAGUC
rnacentral:rRNA from 1 species